UACGUAGGGACCGAGCGUUGUCCGGAAUCAUUGGGCGUAAAGAGCGUGUAGGCGGCCACUUAAGUCCUGCGUGAAAUCUUGCGGCUCAACCGCAAGCGGUCGUGGGAAACUGGGUGGCUAGGAGUGGCGGGAGAGGAGGAGUGGAAUUCCUGGUGUAGGCGGUGGAAUGCGCAGAUAUCAGGAAGAACACCCGUGGCGAAGGCGGCUCUCUGGAACGCAACUGACGCUGAGACGCGAAAGCGUGGGGAGCAAACAGG
rnacentral:rRNA from 1 species